rnacentral:rRNA from 1 species
CCAUUAGAUGUUCUGGGCCGCACGCGCGCUACACUGAUUCAUGCAACAAGUUUUGUCCUUGGCUGAUAGGCCUGGGUAAUCUUUGAACGUGAAUCGUGAUGGGGAUAGAUGAUUGCAAUUAUUCAUCUUCAACGAGGAAUUCCUAGUAAACGCAAGUCAUCAGCUUGCAUUGAUUACGUCCCUGCCCUUUGUACACACCGCCCGUCGCACCUACCGAUUGAAUGGUCCGGUGAAAUCUUCGGAUCUGAGAGAUGUCUGAUUAAUUUCGGACGCCUUUUGGAAAAGUUGUUUAAACCUUACCAUUUAGAGGAAGGUGAAGUCGUAACA